rnacentral:misc_RNA from 1 species
UUUCCGUAGGUGAACCUGCGGAAGGAUCAUUACUGAGAUUUGAAUGAAGUUGUUCUGGUCUUUCUGGGCAGGUGAACGCUUUUCUCAAUCCAUCUUAUGCCUGUGCACCUAUCGGGGUAGACUUUGUUCUAAGUUGGGUCACGACGGCGAUCUACAGUCUCCUCUUUAUACCAAAUAACAGUUUUAGAAAGUCUUUUUUUCUUGAUGCAAACUUAAAUAAAUACAACUUUCAGCAACGGAUCUCUUGGCUCUC